UACGGAGGGUGCAAGCGUUAUCCGGAUUCACUGGGUUUAAAGGGUGCGUAGGUGGGCAGGUAAGUCAGUGGUGAAAUCUCCGAGCUUAACUCGGAAACUGCCGUUGAUACUAUUUGUCUUGAAUAUUGUGGAGGUAAGCGGAAUAUGUCAUGUAGCGGUGAAAUGCUUAGAUAUGACAUAGAACACCAAUUGCGAAGGCAGCUGGCUACACAUAUAUUGACACUGAUGCACGAAAGCGUGGGGAUCAAACAGG
rnacentral:rRNA from 1 species